GCCGUGAUCGUAUAGUGGUUAGUACCUUGCGUUGUGGCCACAAUAACCCAGGUUCGAAUCCUGGUCACGGCA
rfam:Ixodes scapularis strain Wikel colony gcontig_1108378870508, whole genome shotgun sequence.